GGAUUGAUGAUGACAACAUUUUUCUGAGGACGCUGAUUGACUCAAAGAGAAAGCCUCUGAGGUCC